UUGGUUUGUUUAAAGAACCUAUGUUUUCUAAAGACAAAGACCAAUGGGCCAACAAGAUAUGGGCUAAGCCAAAAUUGCGUAUUUUUAUGAUGAUAAAACCUGAAUAUGGCACAGAGAAUUAUGUUGUAUAGAAUGAAUCCAAAAG